CAUCUCUCUGCACAGAGAGAGCCUACGAUUCUCUUUUUAAGAGCUUUCACUGGAUUACAUCGGAGACCCAUCCAGGAGAAUUUUUCUUUAGAUUAACUCAAAAGCUCUCCAUGUGAGGAUGCAGUAAGUUGGCAGUCUGCAUAUGGAAGACGGCUCUCACUAGAACCUGCCCAUGCUGACACCCUGAUCUUGGACUCCCAGCCUUCCAAACUAGAGAGAGAGAGAGAGAGAGAAUCUCAUGCACACUCCACAUGGAAUGCAGGGCCUGACAUGGAGCUCAAUCUCACAACCAUGAUAUCAUGACCAUGAGAUCACAACCUGAGCAGAAAACAAGUGUCGGAGGCUUAACUGACUGCAUCACCCAGGUAUGGAUGCAAAGAGCACUCCUGAAAAACAUCCAGCUUACUAACCAUCUCAGACGAUUUACAAAGACAUCUGAUAUCAUAUUAUACUGUUCACAAAGAGGAGAGGGAAAGAGAGCACAAAUGGUGUGGAAGGACAGAGGAAGAAGAAGAAGUAGACUCCCUGCUGAGCAGAGAGCCCAACACGGGACUCCAUCCCAGGACCCUGAGAUCAUGACCUGAGCUGAAGGCAGAUGUUUAACUGACUAAGCCACCUAGCCUUGACUCUUAUCUUUCUUGACCUGGAGUUACAACCAUCCAUCUUUCCUUCCUUCCUUCUUUCUUUCCUUUCAUGUGUUGUAAUUUAUUUUUUAUAUGCCAGACAUUUCUAUUAAAGACCAGCGGGGACUGAAGUAGUAAGUCCCAGAAGACUUUUUUUUGUCAAUCUAGCUACCAUAGUGGUGAAUCUAAGCCCAUUUGCUCGAAAAUGGAGCUGAGUUUUUUAAAUUUUACUGAUUCAUUUCACCUUAGACUUCAAAUAUGUUGAGAAGGGUUAGGAUUUUUCCCCUGUCAGGGCCUUGGAUCAGAACAUUUGUAUGAUUCCAAAGAUUUACCUGGGUUUCAAAACUGAGCCAUCUGGCUGUGGCUACUCCCAAUUUGUAAUCCAAUCUGGCUGCCUGCUUCUUGGAUAGCAGAGAAAUCACUGUUGCUUUCCAAUUCUUGCUCCCUAUCUUCUGAGUCUUUCAGCCCCUGCUAUCUACCUGAGUCUUCCUAGACAGCAGCCCUCUACUCUUGGAAAGCUUCAAGUGCCCCAGUAGGGUUUUUCUCAGCUACCCUCUAAUGCCCCAAUGUUGAUAUCUGAUUCUGAGUGUCUCUGGAGAUCUGUCUCAGCUCCUGUGUCCUCCUCCCUGACUUAGAGUGAUAGCUGCUUUGUACUUACUGAGCUUUCCUUUUUUGUUUCCUUCAUUUUGUUCUCAUUAAAGACCUAUAGAAACAAAAUGUCACAGGUGGACACUUGUUCUGUGACUAGAAAGUCUAAUCUUUCAAACAGCCCACAUGUGGUCAUUAAAAUUUGAUUCAAAUUU